rnacentral:lncRNA from 1 species
CCACUUUUUUUAAAUCAGGUAAAUAUAUUUACACUUUAAAGGAUCUCCAAUACAAUACAUUCUGUAAUGCAGUUUCUGAGAAAUUUUGUGAACUUCACUGGGAAGAAAAAUUAUUAGCAAAUCUUUAUGGUGCAGCAAAUGGUGAAACGUCUGUACCUGAAAGAAUUAAUGAACCACAAUAUUUGAGCAAGACUUUCCAAAGCAAACCACAUACUUCUCUGAGUGGCAGUGAGGAAGCAAAAGGUAUGAAACAGUUAGUGGGCACGCCUUACAUUCAAUGAUACUAAUGUCCAUAAACCUGCAGCAGUUAAGCUGUGAAGUAAUAACCUUUAUGUCCUACUAGAUAUAAGGAGAAGAAGAGCAAUGGGGAUUUUCAAAUAAAGAUUUAUAUCCUUGGAAAAC